GUGAUUUGCUUUGAAAGGUUUUCGAACACCGCUUAUUGUGGCAACUAAACGAAGUCAAGAACACGUUUGCCGUACCACUGGCGCUGUCAAAAUAUAAAGUGUCUUUAUCGGUUGGACUUUGAUUUGUGCUUGAAAUCCAAUAGGCAAUUACAGGUAUACCCGCUUCAACCAUAACUUUGAAAGGUGCCAUUGUUUACAUUAUGCUUGUCUCAUACUAAAUAUUGUCGAGUCUACAUCGCGUAGUUGUCGGCAAGAACAAAACCAUUCAUUGCUAUUGGUUCUAGAAGAUCAACGACUGUAUUUGUUCUAUAUUGUAAAU
rnacentral:lncRNA from 1 species